rnacentral:SRP_RNA from 1 species
CCGUGCUAGGCGGGGAGCUAGCGGUUCCCUGUAACCCGCAAUCCGCUACAGCGGGGCUGAACUCCCGCCCAGAGGCGCCAUUCCGUGGGGCCAGGCCCGCGUGCGCAGCGAGGAGGGCCGGGUCCUGUGCAACGGGACCUGACCAACCCCGCCAGGCCCGGAAGGGAGCAACGGUACGUCAGACCUCCCGUGUGCCGCAGGGGCACCUGGUCGGAGCCGGCGGCGCGGAAACCGCCCGGGGGGUGUGUGUCGAAGGUGGGUGCACGG